UACGGGGGGGGCAAGCGUUGUUCGGAAUUACUGGGCGUAAAGGGCUCGUAGGCGGCCAACUAAGUCAGACGUGAAAUCCCCAGGCUCAACCUGGGAACUGCGUCUGAUACUGGAUGGCUUGAAUCCGGGAGAGGGAUGCAGAAUUCCAGGUGUAGCGGUGAAAUGCGUAGAUAUCAGGAGGAACACCUGCGGUGUAGACGGCUUACUGGACCAUAACUGACGCUGAGGCACGAAAGCGUGGGUAGCAAACAGG
rnacentral:rRNA from 1 species